GACGAACGCUGGCGGCGUGCUUAACACAUGCAAGUCGAGCGAACAGACGAGGCUUGCGCUGCGCUGGAGUUGCGAACGGGUGAGUAACUCGCAGGUGGAUAACCCCGCUAUAUGGGAGAAACCAGGGAAACAAAGCCUAGUAAAUGCUGGGUAAAAUCUUGAACCGGAGGGGUGGAAAGUGAAAGUCGGUUUUGGGAUCACUUAGCGACCGAUCCGCGUCGCAUUAGGUAGUUGGUAAGGUAACGGCUUACCAAGGAAACGAUGCGUAGCCGGCCUGAGCGGGUGAUCGGCCACACUGGGACUGAGACACGGUCCAGACUCCUACGGGAGGCAGCAGUGGGGAAUCUUCCGCAAUGGGCGAAAGCGUGACGGAGCAACGCCGCGUGAGUGAUGACGGCCUUCGGGUCGUAAACCCCUGUUAUUAGGGAAGAACAUCUGUCUAUGAAACUACGCUCGUGUUGACGGUACCUGAACAAGAAGCCCCGGCUAACUACGUG
rnacentral:rRNA from 1 species